GGGCAUAUAGACAUCAGGGCUAGAUCUACCCGACAUCUAAAACAUAAUAAACGUUGGGGAAACUCCACAUAGACGUCUAAAGGUCUUGUCAGGUGGGUGAAUAGUCACCAUAUGGACAUCGAAUACCACCACAACAACGUCUAUAGUUGUGUAUACAUGUCGCCCUGACACCACCUGACGUCAAUAGGUCUGUCAGGUUGGUGAAUAGUCGCCAUAUAGACGUCCGGUAGCUCCACACAGACAUCUAUAACCUGACAGGUAGUUG
rnacentral:lncRNA from 1 species